rnacentral:rRNA from 1 species
GUUUACGGCCAUACCAGCCUGGGUACGCCCGAUCUCGUCUGAUCUCGGAAGCUAAGCAGGGCCGGUCCUGGUUAGUACUUGGAUGGGAGACCGCCUGGGAAUACCAGGUGCUGUAAGCU